GAAUAUUGGACAAUGGGCGAAAGCCUGAUCCAGCCAUGCCGCGGGUGUGAAGAAGGCCUUUUGGUUGUAAAGCACCUUAAGCGAGGAGGCGGAUAAGUGGAUUAAUACUCUAGGAUAGUGGACGUUACUUGCAGAAUAAGCACCGGCUUACUCUGUGCCUGCAGCAGAGGUAAUACCGAGGGUGCGAGCGUUAAUCGGAUUUACUGGGCGUAAAGCGUGCGUAGGCGGCUUCUUAAGUCGGAUGUGAAAUCCCUGAGCUUAACUUAGGAAUUGCAUUCGAUACUGGGAAGCUAGAGUAUGGGAGAGGAUGGUAGAAUUCCAGGUGUAGCGGUGAAAUGCGUAGAGAUCUGGAGGAAUACCGAUGGCGAAGGCAGCCAUCUGGUCUAAUACUGACGCUGAGGUACGAAAGCAUGGGGAGCAAAC
rnacentral:rRNA from 1 species